GGAAGAUUCUUAACCUUGUAACUUUGGACAAUUAAACUCUAGGAUUUUGGUUUCUUAUCUGUAAAGUGUGGUUGAUAUUGUCUACGUAGCCUGGUUGUGGUGAAGAAUGGAUGAAGUGAUGCCUGAAAAACUGCCUAGCAGUGCUCUUAGUAGGCCCUUGACAUAUGGGAGGUGUUUUGAUAAUUAACAUGAUUACUAGUACAUCACUAGCGGGGACUAGAAAUCUAGCACGAGAUGAUUCUCAAGGUCCUUUCUGCUACAAAAUUCCAACAUUCUUUUCUUUCAAAGAGCUAACUAUUGAACAAUUGCAGAGCUUUAAGAAUUGAUUUUAACUGUUAUCUUAUGUGAUCCCUCAGUAGCCUCCAGAAGGUGCCACCAUUGAUGUAAUUUCUUCCUUUAACAGAUGAGGAAACUGAGGUUGGUGAGUUGGGCAAUUUGCCAGGGGCAACAUGGCGGAUUGGUUGCUAUCACUCAUUGUGAAGUCAGAGUUACAGGCAAGGGAGCAACAGGGCUGAGGAGAUACCUGUUCUCCCAGUUUCACGGCCAGUACAAGGCCAUUCUUACACUGCUCGGGGGAGCCCCUCAGGAGAAGACACAUUUAAGAGUUUCCAGCAAGAAGAGUCAGGUCAUGCAGUCAGCUGCUUUCUCAGCCCAGCUGUGGGAAUGUAAACAAGUUUCUAACCUCAUUGAAUCUUAGGUUCCCUGUUUGGAAACAGAUGAGAUCCACAACAGCCAUUAUCUUAUUGGAUGGUUGUUGUAUGGCAGGGGCUGUACUGAAGAGUCACACACAUUACUUAGUCUUCCCAACAAUCCUGCAAGAUAUAGAACCUUGACAUGUUUCUCAGGCUGGUCUGAAACUCCUGGGGCUCAAGCGAUCCACCUGCCUCCACCUCUCAAAGUGCUGAGAUUACAGGGCCUAUGGUUCAUCCUGCAAUAUCAGAGAAUACACAACUGUUGGAAGCUCAUUUGUGCAGAAGCACUAGUUAGACCAAGUCCCAGGAUGGUGGGGACUUGAACUGCCUCAUGCACAUUGUACCCAAGAGCCUGGCCCAUGAAGGUGAAUCAGUGGAUACUUGAAUAAAAAGAAGAAUAUGCGCUGAAGUUUUCUUUGAGGACAUUUUUUUUUCUUUCCAUAGUUUUGAGCAUCUCUGAUGUUUUGAGAUUUCUGCCAGUCUUUGAGGAUGUAAUGCUCAAUUAGACUUGUUCUCUGUCCUCAAAGAGCUUAUAUAAUAGUUAGUGAGCUAAUUCUCCUGUUUUGAGAGACAGGAGAAAAUGUUAUGUUAUAAUGAGUCAUUCAGACUCUAUCUACUAGGCCUGACUUUGUUACUUUUUAAAAAGCAUUCUUCCACUCCUGCUUGGAUAUCUCUGUAUACAAGACUCAGAGACACGUAUGACGCCCCUUAGGAGGGGUUCUGACGUGCAAAUUUCUGAGACCCAGAAGCACCUACCUUCCAUUUUCCAAUGCCCCAAAUUCUAUGAAAACCACGAGCACAUGCAUUCGUUCCCAUGUUCUCGGGUGCCUCGCCUAUCAGUCAAGGGUCACAAGAUCUGCAGGGCAGUUGCUUUCAAAAUAAAAUGGAUGUGAAAACAGCUGAAGCCCAGCGAGCACUUGAUAACUGCUUCUUUUGAAGGCAAAAUAAGAUUAUUCUAUGAGGUAACAGGCUCCUUCUGGGCUUAAGUAGGCAUAGGGUUUACAGUGUAGAUUCUUGUGCUAUGGUUUUCCCAUAAAAGAGGGAAACCUUGAAAUCACAGCACUUUUGUGGUAGGGAGGAUUUCAAGCAGUGCUUAAUAAGGUGUACAUGACCAUAGCAGAGUGUCCCCCCCCAUCUCAGGGAAAAGGCCCCUGAAAUUAAUCAUGAGAAUCCUCUCCUGUCCCCAGGGACCUAGAUGAACCCUGACUAAUGAAUAUUUAAAUCUCACUCUUUGUCUGCUCUCACACUCAAACCCUGAUUCAUGACUGUAUGCUUUCCAUUUGGCAUGGAACAGAGAUCACAAGUCCACAGGGUAUAGCUCCAUGCCACCUGGGGCUCCUUUAGACAUUAGUAUUAU
rnacentral:lncRNA from 1 species